GCGAGCGUUAAUCGGAAUUACUGGGCGUAAAGCGUGCGCAGGCGGUCUGUUAAGACCGAUGUGAAAUCCCCGGGCUUAACCUGGGAACUGCAUUGGUGACUGGCAGGCUUUGAGUGUGGCAGAGGGAGGUAGAAUUCCACGUGUAGCAGUGAAAUGCGUAGAGAUGUGGAGGAAUACCGAUGGCGAAGGCAGCCUCCUGGGCCAACACUGACGCUCAUGCACGAAAGCGUGGGGAGCAAACAGG
rnacentral:rRNA from 1 species